AGUGAACGCUGGCGGUAGGCCUAACACAUGCAAGUCGAACGGCAGCACAGUAAGAGCUUGCUCUUACGGGUGGCGAGUGGCGGACGGGUGAGGAAUACAUCGGAAUCUACUUUUUCGUGGGGGAUAACGUAGGGAAACUUACGCUAAUACCGCAUACGACCUACGGGUGAAAGCAGGGGAUCAUCGGACCUUGCGCGAUUGAAUGAGCCGAUGUCGGAUUAGCUAGUUUGCGGGGUAAAGGCCCACCAAGGCGACGAUCCGUAGCUGGUCUGAGAGGAUGAUCAGCCACACUGGAACUGAGACACGGUCCAGACUCCUACGGGAGGCAGCAGUGGGGAAUAUUGGACAAUGGGCGCAAGCCUGAUCCAGCCAUACCGCGUGGGUGAAGAAGGCCUUCGGGUUGUAAAGCCCUUUUGUUGGGAAAGAAAAGCAGCAGGUUAAUACCCCGCUGUUCUGACGGUACCCAAAGAAUAAGCACCGGCUAACUUCGUG
rnacentral:rRNA from 1 species